rnacentral:misc_RNA from 1 species
GACGUCGUGCUCGUCACCCGCAACGCGGUUGGCCUGCAAUGAAGAGGCCAAGCUGUGACNCGCAAGGAGACGGGAGGGCGGUCAUUCCAACGAACAAAACAUGGCAUGGAGGCCGAGGUGGUCGUGUCAAUAAACGCACGCUGCACCCGCGAGCACUUGAGGUGCUCGUUCUUUCGAUNGGANAGUUGGUGAUNGAAGUCACGCGAUCGUCCGAGGGGACACGGGCACCGUUGUGUAGCCACUCCCAUGCCGCACUACGCGGAGGGAGAGGAGAGAGAGGAUGAGGCCGAAUCAUAUUUCAUGUCNAGCUAUGUAGGCAACACAAGCAAAGCUCGCGGCACCAAUAGCGUGAUUGGGCCAUUAAAAUGAUUGGGUGCAGUAAAGACGGUUGGGUGCGCAUGGAACCGAGCCCACCGUUAUAUGCAAAUAUCAUACAUUUUAUAUGCCGACACAGUCAUUCCACCGUAUAUCACCCCCAAUCGCCCACAUUCCACGUUAAGAAAAUGGUGUUAUGGGGUCAAAAUGGGAAGGUCAACAAUAAAACUCCGCCAAGCACAACAAAGAGA